rnacentral:rRNA from 1 species
GGGUUGUGAGGUUAAGCGACUAAGCGUACACGGUGGAUGCCCUGGCAGUCAGAGGCGAUGAAGGGCGUGCUAAUCUGCGAUAAGCGCCGGUAAGGUGAUAUGAACCGUUAUAACCGGCGAUACCCGAAUGGGGAAACCCAGUGUGAUUCGUCACACUAUCAUUAACUGAAUCCAUAGGUUAAUGAGGCGAACCGGGGGAACUGAAACAUCUAAGUACCCCGAGGAAAAGAAAUCAACCGAGAUUCCCCCAGUAGCGGCGAGCGAACGGGGAGGAGCCCAGAGCCUGAAUCAGCAUGUGUGUUAGUGGAAGCGUCUGGA